rnacentral:tRNA from 1 species
GGGGGUGUAGCUCAGCGGGAGAGCACCUGCUUUGCAAGCAGGGGGUCAGGGGUUCAAUCCCCCUCACCUCCA